rnacentral:rRNA from 1 species
AGUGAACGCUGGCGGUAGGCCUAACACAUGCAAGUCGAACGGCAGCACAGGAGAGCUUGCUCUCUGGGUGGCGAGUGGCGGACGGGUGAGGAAUACAUCGGAAUCUACUCUGUCGUGGGGGAUAACGUAGGGAAACUUACGCUAAUACCGCACACGACCUACGGGUGAAAGCAGGGGACCUUCGGGCCUUGCGCGAUUGAAUGAGCCGAUGUCGGAUUAGCUAGUUGGCGGGGUAAAGGCCCACCAAGGCGACGAUCCGUAGCUGGUCUGAGAGGAGGAUCAGCCACACUGGAGCUGAGACACGGUCAAGACUCCUACGGGAGGCAGCAGUGGGGAAUAUUGGACAAUGGGCGCAAGCCUGAUCCAGCCAUACCGCGUGGGUGAAGAAGGCCUUCGGGUUGUAAAGCCCUUUUGUUGGGAAAGAAAUCCAGCUGGCUAAUACCCGGUUGGGAUGACGGUACCCAAAGAAUAAGCACCGGCUAACUUCGUGCCAGCCGCCGCCGUAA